AAACCUUAACACUUGCUGUCACUCAUGCUAACUUCUUUCUUAUUGAAACAGCCUAUUUGUAUACAGUAUCUUAUCAUUUUGUGAAUCAAAACAGAAGAAUGAUAUUAGGAAGAAAGUCCUGUUAACAACUCACUGUUGGGCAAGUGAGCCGUCUCAGGCUCUGAAUUCCUCUGUCUCUGCGAUGGUGAUAACAACUUGGGCCUCGAGGUCUUAGCACCCUGAAGACAUGGACAAACACUUCUCAUCUUUCUGAUUCUUGGUUUAGCACAGAGCUGUGGGUCACUCACAGCUUGUGACAAAAACACUGCUAAUUGUAUAGCUGGUGCCAGGGGCACUGUGGAGUCGCUGAGGAAGUCGCUGUUAGCUACUGAUUAUUCUCCAGAGAGGCUGCAUGCCAUCCUGCAAGAAUGCAGGCUGAUGCCUUGAAGUUCUUCCACCGACAAGGUGCACAGCCUGGGGCCAACUAUUUUAACUGCAGCCUUCUCAGCUGUGAAAAAUGAGAACAACGAUCCUCACGGCUUUAGAAGAGAGUUGUGUUUAUUAAUUAGUCUGUAUUUCAAAGUGCUUCACAACUGGAAAGUUUCACGAUUGCAUAAAGGAAGAUUCCCUUUCAUUUUAUCCCCCAUCACAUUAGGAUGAAAAGAAACUGUGCUCACUGAGGCUGUGAGAAAAAUGGAGGGGAUUCAGGCAAAAAAGCUAACAAACCUGACUUCCGAAGGUAGUGGCUCAUUUCCCUGACUGUAAGAUGACACCCAUUAAAGGGAACUUUUGUAAAUUAGGUAUCUCAAAGGGCAGCCAAACCUGCUCUCUGAAGAACUGCUUUUCUU
rnacentral:lncRNA from 1 species